ensembl:lncRNA
CCAGUUGUAUUCUCAACUUGAAAAUAGUAAGGGAGCGCUGCUACCUCACACUCCGGCAGCACGACAUCCCUGCUCGUCACUAAACUCAGCGCCCUGGGUGUGAUAAUCUUUCCGAAAAAUGAAGCCCCGGAAUUUUGGGGAUGUUGCUUAAAUUCAUCAAAAAAAUUAGCUUAUAACAGUGAACCUUUUUGUGGGAUACACAUAAGGCAAUUCUAGGUCUUGUGGCAUAUUUUGGUUAAACUAUCUCCAAUUCAAUGGAAUCACAUGUACAGCUGAUUCUCAAGAUCUUGCACACUAAUGAGAUGCUAUUGAGCCCACACUACUACACUGUCUGAACCAAGGACUAUAUGCUUUCUGGUAAGUUUUGAUUACAAUACAGGGUGGGGUGAAUAUAUUUUAUGUGACAUACACAAUUUUUUGUUAACUAGUAAAUACAAACCUACAGCAAAAUGUGUCACGCCCUGAUCUGUUUCACCUGUCCUUGUGAUUGUCUCCACCCCCUCCAGGUGUUGCUUAUUUUCCCCAGUGUAUUUAUCCCUGUGUUUCCUGUCUCUCUGUGCCAGUUUGUCUUGUAUGUUUCCAAAUCAACCAGAGGUUUUCCUGUUCUCCUGUUUUUGACAUUCUCCUUUUUUUCUAGUCCUCACAGUUUUGACCCUUGCCUGUUUCUGGACUUUGUACCUGCCUGCCUGACCAUUCUGCCUGCCUUGACCACGAGCCUGUCUGCCACUCUGUUCCUCCUGGACUCUGAUCUGGUUUUGCCCUUUUUGCCUGUCCACGACCAUUGUCUUGCCUACCCCUUUGGAUUAAUAAACAUUGAAAAUCUGAUGUGUGGAGACAUUUCACUUCAGCUAAUGUAGGAGGAAAAGCUGUGUACAUUUGCAAAUACUGUGCCAAGUCAUAUGUGAAUAAUGCAACAAAGAUACAGAAUCAACUGGCCAAGUGCAUAAAGUUCCCUCAAUGCUCACAACACGCAAUGUCUGACAAAAGUCCCUCUACUUCUAUUUGAAGUGAAAAUGAUAAAUCAGAAACCUUAUCGAUAGCAACAGCUCAUGGUCCUCCUGGAAUCAGAAGUUUUUGACUCAAUUGAGGAACGUAGUCAGAGAAAUGAUGAUGAAUCUCUUCCUCGAGCUGUGUACGCAACUGGUUCACCUCUGAUGCUCACAGGCAAUGUGUAUUGGAAGAGAUUUCUGAAUGUUCUUUACCCAGCAUACAACCCUUCAACCAGACAUGCUUUAUCUACUCAUUUGCUGAAUGCAGAGUUCAACAGAGUUCAAGUGAAGAUCAAGCAAAUCAUAGAGAAAGCAGACAGUAUUGCAAUCAUCUCUGAUGGGUGGAGGCAAGGAAUAAUUAACAUCUCCACCCCUCAACCAGUAUUCUACAAGAGCACAGACACAAGGGACAACAGACAAACCAGUCUCUACAUUGCAGAUGAGCUGAAGGCAGUCAUCGAUGACCUUGGACCACAGAAGGUAUUUGCCAUGGUGACAGACAAUGCUGUGAACAUGAAGGCUGCUUGGUCUACAGUGGAGGAGUCCUACCCUCAUAUUACACCCAUUGGCUGUGCUGCUCAUGCAUUGAAUCUGCUCCUCAAGGACAUCAUGGCACUGAAAACAAUGGAUACACUCUACAAGAGAGCCAAGGAAAUGGUUAGCUAUGUGAAGGGUCAUCGAGUUAUUGCAGAAAUCUACCUCAUCAAGCAAAGUGAGAAGAAUAAGAGCACCACAUUAAAGCUGCCCAGCAACACCCGCUGGGGUGGUGUUGUCAUCAUGUUUGACAGUCUCCUGGAGGGGAAGGAGUCUCUCCAAGAAAUGGCCAUAUCACAGUCUGCCAACAUGGACAGCCCCAUCGAGAGGAUCCUCCUGGAUGAUGUAUUUUGGGAGAGAGUGGUAAGCAGCUUGAAACUCCUGAAACAUAUAGCAGUAGCCAUUGCAUGGAUUGAGGGAGACAAUUCCAUCCUGUCUGAUGUUCAGACUCUGCUUGCAGAUGUAAGAGAAGAAAUCUGUGAUGCCCUGCCCACUUCACUGUUGCUCCAAGCAGAGGAAACUGCAGUUCUGGUCAAAAAGUGUGAAGACUUCUGCCUGAAGCCCAUACACGCCGCAGUGUACAUGUUGGACCCCAAGUAUGCUGGCAAUAGCAUCCUGUUUGGUGCAGAGAUCAACAAGGCCUAUGGUGUCAUCAUUAUUGUCUCGCCACCUUGGCCUGGCUGAGGGCAAGGUUCUUGGCAGUCUGGCGAAGUACACUUCCAAGCAAGGGCUUUGGGAUGGAGAUGCAAUAUGGCAGUCGUGCAAACAUACCUUAUCAGCCACCUGGUGGAUGGGACUUUGUGGAUCUGAGGUUAUUUUUCCUGUUGCCUCCAUCGUCCUCCAAAUCCCAUCAACAACAGCUGCCUCAGAGCGCAACUGGUCCUUGUUUGGGAACACACAUACCAAAGCACACAGCAGGCUGACCAACACAAGGAUUGAAAAACUUGUGGCCACCCGGAAAAAUUUGAGGCUUUUUGAGCCUGAUAACGAGCCAUCCUCAAGGUUGGAAAGUGACAGUGAAGAUGAGGCCUCAGAGUCUGAUGUUCAAGAGGUGGACAAUGAGGAGGUCCAGGGAGAAGACAUGGAAGGCUGAGAGGAAGACAACCAAAGCUUUAGUUUCUGGACUAUUAUUUUACAGAUGUAUAUUGAAAACGUUUUUGGGAUGGAUCAUUGUGGAUCAUUCAAUAUUCCCUAUCUUUUGUUGUUCAGUGAAAUCAUCCAAUGUGAAGAGUCAACUAAUUUAAUUGAAGUUACAUUCGUAACUAAAUUGUUUUUAUUUUUAUUGGAAGGAUUUAAUAAUUUGUAAUUGUCUAUUUAUGAUAAGGUAAAAGGUUUGUUUCUGUCUCCGUAUGGUAAAUAUAUCCAAUGCAAACAACAUCUACAUUUAAAUGGUAUUAAUAUUAAUUUACAUAUUUCUGUUAAUUCCCAUAUUCCCAUGGAAAGUUUCCAUCUCUAAAUAUCCUCCAAAAUGUGCAACCCUACCUGCAUCUUAGACACUUUUUUGCAAACAUUCACUCACACAAAAACAUCCACACAAGCCCACACACACACGUAGUCUCUUGCACACACACAUAGGACCAUGUCAGGUGCUCAAAGCCUGGUUCCUCUCUAGGUUUCUUCCUAGGUUCCUGCCUUUCUAGGGAGUUUUUCCUAGCCAUUGUGCUUCUACAUCUGCAUUGCUUGCUCUUUGGGUUUUGAAGCUGGGUUUCUGUGUAAGUACUUUGUGACAUCUGCUGUAAAAAGGGCUUUAUAAAUACAUUUGACUGACA